GCACACAUUUUUCCUUAUGAAAUCAAACACUUGGCCUUGUGCGGUUCAUAGAGGAGAGGGACAUGGCUGCCACCAGCUUCUUAGCAGCGUCACUUGUAAGAAGAGCAGCUGUGGCUUUUGCUCUCUCGCAUCCUCUUCUUCUGACAAGCAGCAAGCUUUCUUGCCGCAGGACCCUUAUCUCCUUUCCUCUCACUCCUCGCUUAAGUUCUUCAGCUUCAGGAAUAUGCCAUUUAGCUCAAGCUAUAAAGGGGGAUGUUGAUGGUUUGCUUAAGGGAGUGGCAGACAAAACUGUUAUUGAAGAAGUAAAACGUGUUCUCGAGAUGGCUAGACGUGCAUCAUCGAGAAGGGAGGUUCUCCAUACAAAUUUCCUCACCCCUCCAGUGGUGAAGGAGUCAAUGCUAGCAUUGGAAAAGCUAGCUGAUCUGAAAGCAGUUGUUCAAGGCGGAUACCCGCAGGCUGAGCGGUGUCGGAUUUCUGUAGGACAUCCGGAAGUAUUGACAAGUGAUCCUGAUGUAAUUGCAGCAUUGAGUAUCACAGGAAACUUUGGGUUCCAGCCUUGUUCUCAUGGUGAUUUCCUAGGCGCAAUUCUUGGUACAGGAAUUGCUAGGGAGAAGCUUGGAGAUAUUAUCUUGCAGGGGGAGAAAGGAGCUCAAGUCAUUGUUGUUCCAGAACUUGUUGACUUCAUUAUAUCAUCACUCGACAAGGUUGGUAAUGUGCCUGUAUCUUUUUCUAGGAUACCACUGAUUUCUCUUGAUUACGAACCUCCAAGGACUAAGUCAUUCAAAACCAUAGAAGCAUCAGUGAGAGUUGAUGCUAUAGCUAGUGCAGGAUUUAAGUUAUCACGGACAAAACUAGUUGAUCUGAUUCGUGAUGGUGAUGUGCGUGUGAACUGGACCCCUGUUACUAAAAAUGGAGCUACACUCAAAACUGGUGAUAUUGUGUCGGUUAGAGGAAAAGGAAGACUAAAGAUAGGAGAAAUUAACCCUACGAAGAAGGGGAAAUUUGCAGUUGAACUCAUUCUUUAUCUGUAAGUUUUCGAAAGGGGGGACAAUCUAACAUUACUGUUCAUGGGAUCUAAACGAGCCUUGAGGUGGCAUUUUUGUAGCCUAAAACCCAGAGGUGUUCUUCCAAAGAUCAAGCGUAUGCUGCAUCGAAGUUUGGCUCUAUUUUUGAUUCCUAUCUCCGAGAACAUAGGACACAGAGUCUUGCAGCAACAGAGAAGACUCGCCCCUUUGUUCUAAUCCACUUCGCACAUUCCAUGUGGACAGAUUUAAGUGCAUAAUCUGGGUCUCUUCCUCAGUGUGCUACUUCAUUUUUGUUUCUUCUUCAACGGAUUUCGUUUAGGUCAAUGGCUAUUCACUAUUUGGUUUCUAGGAAAGUGAGGGAAAAAUCGCCUCUACCUUUUGUUUUUACAGUACGCAAGGGUAUCCCUGAAUUUUACGAACGUUAAAUGGAAAGUACCAGAGUCAAGCACGAAGCUUUGAGGUUAUCUGAUAGC